rnacentral:rRNA from 1 species
GUAAGGGCGCAUGGUGGAUGCCUCGGCAUGGGCAGGCGAUGAAGGGCGUGGCAAGCUGCGAUAAGCCGCGGGGAGCCGCAAGCAGGCUGUGAUCCGCGGAUUCCCGAAUGGGGCAACCCGGCCGGUCGAAGACCGGUCAUCCACGGGCUGAAUCCAUAGGCCCGUGGAGGCGAACCCGGGGAACUGAAACAUCUCAGUACCCGGAGGAAAAGAAAGCAACCGCGAUUCCCUGAGUAGUGGCGAGCGAAAGGGGAACAGCCCAAACCGGCGUCGUUUCGGCGGCGUCGGGGUUGUAGGGCCCGCCAUAUGGGGUCGGAAGGUGAAGUCGAAGCGUGCUGGAAAGCCGCGCCAAAGAGGGUGAUAGCCCCGUAGGCGUAAGCCGACCGAUCUCGGCGGUGUCCCUGAGUACCACGGGACCGGGGAAAUCCUGUGGGAAGCUGCCAGCACCAUCUGGCAAGGCUAAAUACUCGCCCAUGACCGAUAGCGCACUAGUACCGUGAGGGAAAGGUGAAAAGAACGCCUAGUAGGCGAGUGAAAAGGACCUGAAACCAUGCGCCUACAACCAGUCGGAGCCUCUUGCCGGACUUCGGUCCGGCAAUGGGGUGACGGCGUGCCUUUUGCAGAAUGAGCCUACGAGUUGCUCCUCUCUGGCAAGGCUAAGUGCCUCAGGCACGGAGCCGCAGCGAAAGCGAGUCCGAACAGGGCGACAGAGUCAGAGGGGGCAGACGCGAAACCGGGUGAGCUACCCUUGGCCAGGUUGAAGCGUGGGUAAGACCACGUGGAGGACCGAACCGGUUGGCGUUGAAAAGCCAUCGGAUGAGCUGAGGGUAGGGGUGAAAGGCCAACCAAACCCGGAGAUAGCUCGUACUCCCCGAAAUGCAUAGAGGUGCAGCGUCGCAGCCGAGUGUGCGGGAGGUAGAGCACUGGUUGGGCUAGGGCCCUUCACCGGGUACCAAACCCAGUCAAACUCCGAAUGCCCGCACAUGCUCUGCGGCAGUGAGGGCAUGGGCGAUAAGGUCCAUGUCCGAGAGGGGGACAACCCAGACCGACAGCUAAGGCCCCCAAGUCCAGGCUAAGUUGGGCAAAGGAGGUCGGGCUGCUAAGACAACCAGGAGGUUGGCUUAGAAGCAGCCAUUCCUUUAAAGAGUGCGUAACAGCUCACUGGUCGAGCGGCCCGGCGCCGAAAAUUGUCGGGCAUCAAGCCUGGCGCCGAAGCUUCGGGUUUGCAGCCUUCAGGCUGCAAGCGGUAGGGGAGCAUUCCAGCUGCGCAGAAGUCGCCUCGUGAGGGGCGGUGGAGCGGCUGGAAAAGAAAAUGUAGGCAUGAGUAACGAGAAGACGGGUGAAAAACCCGUCCGCCGUAAGCCCAAGGGUUCCUGCUCAACGCUAAUCGGAGCAGGGUUAGCCGGGUCCUAAGCCGAGGCUGAAAGGCGUAGGCGAUGGGAAACGGGUUAAUAUUCCCGUGCCACCCGAAGGCGCUAACCUGAGGCGUGACGCAGGAGCGUAAGGCCCGCGCCCUGACGGAAUAGGGCGUUGAAGCCCGUAGGCUGGGUGGUAGGCAAAUCCGCCACCCGCUAAGGCCGAAAGGCGACAGUAGGGGGACCCGCAAGGGAAACCCAUAGAGGCCCCAAGCACACUGCCAAGAAAAGCGUCGCAGGUUGUCUUCGGGUGCCCGUACCGGAAACCGACACAGGUGGGCGAGGCGAGUAUCCUCAGGCGCUCGAGUGAUCCGUGGCUAAGGAACUCGGCAAAUUGGCCCCGUAACUUCGGGAGAAGGGGCGCCUCCUCCCAUCCAAAAGCGGGAGGGGGCCGCAGUGACCAGGCCCAGGCGACUGUUUAACAAAAACACAGCUCUCUGCGAACUCGUAAGAGGACGUAUAGGGAGUGACACCUGCCCGGUGCCGGAAGGUUAAGGAAGGGGGUUAUCUCGGCCUCGCGCCGGGAGAAGCUCCCGACCGAAGCCCCGGUAAACGGCGGCCGUAACUAUAACGGUAGGACUGGAUCGAAGCCGAUCCAGAAGGGCCGUUGUAAAAUUCGGCUAUAUGCUGGGACAGCUCGGGUAUCCCAGGGUACCGAGAAGGUAAAAAUCCUAUGGGUGGAGCCAACCAGCAGGAAAGACUUUCGGGGACCGAAGCCGAACGGUGGUUCCUUGCAGGGCUCAUCGAAGGGGAAGGCUCCCUCUGCGCAUCGAUCAAAUACCAUCCCACGGCCCGCUAUGGCGUGGUGGUAGAUCCGGAAUUCUUCAUCUACCAGCACGUGACGGGACGUAGCCUGCUGGAACGUGCCCGGCGCAUCUUCGGGACAGGUCGGAUCUAUCCCAAGCCGGGCAAUCCCAAGGUGCUGGUCUUCUGCAUCGAUGCGCGACGUAGCCUGCGUGAACGCGUGCUACCCUUCCUCUUCCGCUAUGUCUAUCCGUUCUCGGCAAAAAAGCAGCAGAUUACCUGCUUUGCCGAGAUCGUAGAGGCCCUGGAACGCAAGGAACACCACACCCCUGAAGGCCUGGCGCGUAUCGUCGAGCAGGCAUACGCGCUGAGUGCAGGCAGUAAGGGGAAGGAGCGAAAACGACCGCUCCAGGAGGUCCUCGAAAGAAUCCUCAGAGGCCAUACGCCGAACAUCGCUCCGCCUUCCUCACCGGAGCGAUGAAGAUAUGGUCCAGCCCUCGUGGCGACACGGGGAGAGGCUGCCUAAGGUAGCAUCCGCUGCCUGCCCACAGGGUAACCUGUGGGGCAAGCCCGGCUGUAUGCGGGAACGCCCUGAGAGCCACUUCUACGUCUCCCGCCAAAGGGCGGGCGUAAAAAUGAAGUGGAUUGGGUAACCCGCAGGAAACCCCGCCGCAAGCGGGGGAUCCUCAGAGGCCAUACGCCGGGUAUCCAGUACC